rnacentral:rRNA from 1 species
AACGAACGCUGGCGGCAUGCCUAACACAUGCAAGUCGAACGAGACCUUCGGGUCUAGUGGCGCACGGGUGCGUAACGCGUGGGAAUCUACCCUUGGGUUCGGAAUAACAGUUAGAAAUGACUGCUAAUACCGGAUGAUGACGUAAGUCCAAAGAUUUAUCGCCCAAGGAUGAGCCCGCGUAAGAUUAGCUUGUUGGUGGGGUAAUGACCUACCAAGGCGACGAUCUUUAGCUGGUCUGAGAGGAUGAUCAGCCACACUGGGACUGAGACACGGCCCAGACUCCUACGGGAGGCAGCAGUGGGGAAUAUUGGACAAUGGGCGAAAGCCUGAUCCAGCAAUGCCGCGUGAGUGAUGAAGGCCUUAGGGUUGUAAAGCUCUUUUACCAGGGAUGAUUAUGACAGUACCUGGAGAAUAAGCUCCGGCUAACUCCGUGCCAGCCGCCGCGGUAA